rnacentral:rRNA from 1 species
AUUGAACGCUGGCGGCGUGCUUAACACAUGCAAGUCGAGCGGUAAGGCCCUUUCGGGGGUACACGAGCGGCGAACGGGUGAGUAACACGUGGGUGACCUGCCCUCAGCUCUGGGAUAAGCCCGGGAAACUGGGUCUAAUACCGGAUAUGACUCCAUGACGCAUGUUGUGGGGUGGAAAGCCUUGUGCGGCUGAGGAUGGGCCCGCGGCCUAUCAGCUUGUUGGUGGGGUGANGGCCUACCAAGGCGACGACGGGUAGCCGGCCUGAGAGGGCGACCGGCCACACUGGGACUGAGAUACGGCCCAGACUCCUACGGGAGGCAGCAGUGGGGAAUCUUGCGCAAUGGGCGAAAGCCUGACGCAGCGACGCCGCGUGAGGGAUGACGGCCUCGGUU